UGGGGAAUAUUGCACAAUGGAGGAAACUCUGAUGCAGCGACGCCGCGUGAAGGAAGAAGGUUUUCGGAUCGUAAACUUCUAUCAGCAGGGAAGAAAAUGACGGUACCUGACUAAGAAGCCCCGGCUAACUACGUGCCAGCAGCCGCGGUAAUACGUAGGGGGCAAGCGUUAUCCGGAAUUACUGGGUGUAAAGGGAGCGUAGGCGGUAGAGUAAGUUAGAUGUGAAAGCCCAAGGCUCAACCUUGGGACUGCAUUUAAAACUGCUUUACUAGAGUACAGGAGAGGAAAGUGGAAUUCCUAGUGUAGCGGUGAAAUGCGUAGAUAUUAGGAGGAACACCAGUGGCGAAGGCGACUUUCUGGACUGUAACUGACGCUGAGGCUCGAAAGCGUGGGGAGCGAA
rnacentral:rRNA from 1 species